rnacentral:lncRNA from 1 species
GAGCUAUUGAAAUUCAAACAUGUAAAUAAAUAAUUUAAAAUGGCGCGAGAUGUAAAUCGACAAAACAAAGUGUGUGCAAUGUGUGUCUAUGCCAUCGGGUUAGCUACAACCAGUUUUGAAAGUUUUAGGAGUAAUGGUUAAAGAGCUAUUGACAUUUGAAACAUUUGAUUUGUCACUAUGUUGACGGUCCCUAACUGCUGUUGGUGGACGUAAGGAAAACUACAGGCGAAUAUCCAACCUGAAACUGUCUUUACCUCGGUUCUUAAAGUCCAUUGAAACUCAAUGGACAAAACAUGAUCUUAGUGCUACGAUGCUUUUGGGGAAGCCAGACCUGUUCGAUCACCAACAGGAAAUGAUGUCACUUCCUUGGCGGGAAAACAACUGUGGUGAACCUGCUGAAAGACAGCGGCAAUACAGAGAACGACGUAAUGCUGCCCCAGAAAGGAGAGUAUCUAGAGAAAGAGAGGGAGGAAAGAUAAAAGAGACUGGGAAGAAGAAGGCAAUAGCUGAACUCAGUGACAGAGUGCAGCAUGCAGAAAGGAAGAAAUGGAGAGAUUCAAACAGGAUACUCAGAGCCAGGGUCAAGACUAGUGCAUUGCUGCAGUCUGCAGAGCUCAAAGAGGCAACUCUGGGUGACCCUGCAGCAUCUAACCAGCUCCCUACAUCUCAUGACGAGGCUGACACCACAUGGCGACCUGGAACCAUUGAACUUAAUCACGUAGGGGAGUGGUGUGUUGUCAAUUAUGACCAUGAAGGAUACCCUGGCAUCAUCAUAGAUGUAGAGGAACAUAACAUUAAGGUGAAGUGCAUGCACCUGAAUGGCAUCAACAAAUUCUUCUGGCCAAGUCCAAAGGAAGAUAUUUGUUGGUACUCUGAUGGACAGAUAAUUUGUCAGAUGCCAGAGCCAUGGGCUGUUAAUAAACACUCUGUACAGAUGGAAAGAUCCACCUGGAAGUACGUGGAAGAGCAUUUGGGGUGAAAGGGGGGACGGAUGGAAAUUGGGGGAGAGGAAGAGAGGGAGAGGAAUGUGUUUUAAUGCUAAUUCCAAUGAUUUUUCUACUGGCAAUGUAUUUUUGUGUUGUUUUUCACAAUGAAUACAGUUGAAGUCGGAAGUUUACAUACACUUAGGUUGGAGUCAUUAAAACUCGUUUUUCAACCACUCCACAAAUUUCUUUUUAACAAACUAUAGUAUGGGCAAGUCGGUUAGGAAAUCUACUUUGUGCAUGACACACAUCAUUUUUACAACAAUUGUUCACAGACAGAUUAUUUCACUUAUAAUUCACUUUAUCACAAUUCCAGUGGGUCAGAAGUUAGCAUACACUAAGUUGACUGUGCC